rnacentral:rRNA from 1 species
UGCAGUCGAGCGGUAGAGAGAAGCUUGCUUCUCUUGAGAGCGGCGGACGGGUGAGUAAUGCCUAGGAAUCUGCCUGGUAGUGGGGGAUAACGUUCGGAAACGGACGCUAAUACCGCAUACGUCCUACGGGAGAAAGCAGGGGACCUUCGGGCCUUGCGCUAUCAGAUGAGCCUAGGUCGGAUUAGCUAGUUGGUGAGGUAAUGGCUCACCAAGGCGACGAUCCGUAACUGGUCUGAGAGGAUGAUCAGUCACACUGGAACUGAGACACGGUCCAGACUCCUACGGGAGGCAGCAGUGGGGAAUAUUGGACAAUGGGCGAAAGCCUGAUCCAGCCAUGCCGCGUGUGUGAAGAAGGUCUUCGGAUUGUAAAGCACUUUAAGUUGGGAGGAAGGGUUGUAGAUUAAUACUCUGCAAUUUUGACGUUACCGACAGAAUAAGCACCGGCUAACUCUGUGCCAGCAGCCGCGGUAAUACAGAGGGUGCAAGCGUUAAUCGGAAUUACUGGGCGUAAAGCGCGCGUAGGUGGUUUGUUAAGUUGGAUGUGAAAUCCCCGGGCUCAACCUGGGAACUGCAUUCAAAACUGACUGACUAGAGUAUGGUAGAGGGUGGUGGAAUUUCCUGUGUAGCGGUGAAAUGCGUAGAUAUAGGAAGGAACACCAGUGGCGAAGGCGACCACCUGGACUAAUACUGACACUGAGGUGCGAAAGCGUGGGGAGCAAACAGGAUUAGAUACCCUGGUAGUCCACGCCGUAAACGAUGUCAACUAGCCGUUGGAAGCCUUGAGCUUUUAGUGGCGCAGCUAACGCAUUAAGUUGACCGCCUGGGGAGUACGGCCGCAAGGUUAAAACUCAAAUGAAUUGACGG